UACGUAGGUGGCAAGCGUUAUCCGGAAUUAUUGGGCGUAAAGCGCGCGUAGGCGGUUUUUUAAGUCUGAUGUGAAAGCCCACGGCUCAACCGUGGAGGGUCAUUGGAAACUGGAAAACUUGAGUGCGGAAGAGGAAAGUGGAAUUCCAUGUGUAGCGGUGAAAUGCGCAGAGAUAUGGAGGAACACCAGUGGCGAAGGCGACUUUCUGGUCUGUAACUGACGCUGAUGUGCGAAAGCGUGGAGAUCAAACAGGAUUAG
rnacentral:rRNA from 1 species